UUUUUAUUAUUGAAUAUGAUUAAAAUUAAUAAGUAUAGAAUUUAUAAUCUAUUGAAUAAUUUGGUUGGGGUGAUUAAUAAAUUAAAUUAACUUUAUUUAAUAAUUAAUUUUGAUUGAAGUAAUAUAAUUUAAAUGAUUUAGUUUUAUGGAUUAAAUGAUUUAAU
rnacentral:rRNA from 1 species